rnacentral:lncRNA from 1 species
UUGCUGUCAAGCCGCCAUUUCGUGGGCAGAAGACCCGUAUUGAAGACUGUCAAGAUUACUUUAGCUAUGCCUAUGAGAGUGCGACAGCAGUUAUCAAAAAUACAACUGCAAGAUAGAGCAGAGCAGAGUGCAGCAACAUUUCUGAGGGACAGAAGCACAGCUGUCACAGCUGAGCAGAGUUGUAGCAGGCACGAUCUCCAUUUUACUGUCCAUCCUUCUCUGCAACUUCCUGAAAGCGAGAGCGCCCAUCCAACAGCUUGUAAUGCUCCAACUGCUCAACAGUGCUCCACCUGCAGCACAACUAGGCAUGUGACUUUGCUCUGUGCACUGUGCUGCUGGUAAAACCAGCUCAGCUGAGCAGGAGAUGUUUCU